rnacentral:rRNA from 1 species
UACGUAGGGUGCGAGCGUUAAUCGGAAUUACUGGGCGUAAAGCGUGCGCAGGCGGUUCGUUGUGUCGGUGGUGAAAUCCCCGGGCUUAACCUGGGAAUGGCCAUGGAAACUGGCGAACUGGAGUGCGGCAGAGGGGGGUGGAAUUCCGCGUGUAGCAGUGAAAUGCGUAGAGAUGCGGAGGAACACCAGUGGCGAAAGCGACUUUCUGGUCCUUAACUGACGCUGAGGCGCGAAAGCAUGGGGAGCGAACGGG